GAUGAACGCUGGCGGCGUGCCUAACACAUGCAAGUCGGGCGAACAGACGUGGAUCUUGCUCCUCUGGCGUUAGCGGCGGACGAGAGAGUAACACGUGGAUAACCACCCUAAAAGACUGGGAUUACUACGGGAAACCGGAGCGAAUACCGGAUAAUAUAAUGAACCGCAUGGUUCACUAGUGACUGACGGUCUUGCUGUCGAUGAUAUAUGGAACCGCGCCGCUGUAGCUUGUGGGUAAGGUAACGGCUUACCACGGCGACGAUGCGUAGCCGACCUGAGAGGGGGAUCGGCGACGCUGGGAGUGAGACACGGUCCAGACUCCGACGGGAGGCCGCAGUAGGGACUCUUCCGCAAUGGGCGAAGGGCUGACGGAGCAACGCGGCGUGGGCUAAGAAGGUCUUGGGGUCGGAAAGCUGUGUGAUUAGGGAAGAACAAAUGUGUAAGUAGCUAUACACGUCUUGACGGUACCUAAUCAGAAAGCCACGGCUAACUACGUG
rnacentral:rRNA from 1 species